rnacentral:rRNA from 1 species
GGAUUAGGCAUGCAAGUCGAACGAGAACCCGAAGCUUGCUUUGGGGGACAGUGGCGAACGGGUGAGUAACACGUGGGUAAUCUACCCUUGGAUGGGGGAUAGCACUAGGAAACUAGUGGUAAUACCGCAUAUUAUCACUUUUUCACAAGAAAAUGUGAUUAAAGGCGCCCUCUGUAUAUGGUGCCGUCUGAGGAUGAGCCCGCGGGCUAUUAGCUUGUUGGUGGGGUAAUGGCACACCAAGGCAACGAUGGCUAGCCGGCCUGAGAGGGUGUACGGUCACAUUGGGACUGAGAUACGGCCCAGACUCCUACGGGAGGCAGCAGCUAAGAAUAUUCCGCAAUGGGCGAAAGCCUGACGGAGCGACGCCGCGUGGACGAUGAAGGCUUUUGGGUUGUAAAGUCCUUUUCCUGGAGAAGAAUAAAACCGGUAGUAACUGACCGGUUGAUGACGGUAUCCAGGGAAUAAGCCCCGGCUAAUUACGUGCCAGCAGCCGCGGUAAUACGUAUGGGGCAAGCGUUGUUCGGAUUUACUGGGCGUAAAGGGCUUGUAGGUGGUGGAUCAAGUCGGAUGUGAAAUCUCCGGGCUUAACCCGGAAAUUGCAUUCGAAACUGAUCCGCUAGAGUACCGGAGAGGGAAACGGAACUCCUGGUGUAGGGGUGAAAUCUGUAGAUAUCAGGAAGAACACCGGUGGCGAAGGCGGUUUCCUGGCCGGAUACUGACACUGAGGAGCGAAAGCUAGGGGAGCAAACAGGAUUAGAUACCCUGGUAGUCCUAGCCGUAAACGUUGUGCACUAGGUGUAAGUAGGUUUAUCUACUUGUGCCGCAGCUAACGCAUUAAGUGCACCGCCUGGGGAGUAUGCUCGCAAGGG